rnacentral:rRNA from 1 species
UACGUAGGGUGCAAGCGUUGUCCGGAAUUAUUGGGCGUAAAGAGCUCGUAGGCGGUUUGUUGCGUCGGCUGUGAAAUCCCGAGGCUCAACCUCGGGUCUGCAGUCGAUACGAGCAAACUAGAGUGUUGCAGGGGAGACUGGAAUUCCUGGUGUAGCGGUGAAAUGCGCAGAUAUCAGGAGGAACACCGGUGGCGAAGGCGGCAUCCUGGACCAACACUGACGCUGAGUGAGCGAAAGCCAGGGGAGCAAACGGG